CCGUUACUCACUGUUGGAAGGACAAAAAGUACUUCUGCAGAACUAGCCGUUAUGCUUCUGCCCGUGUUUGGGUCGGCUCAACCUGUCCUUGGGUCGACCCAACUUUCACUUGGGUCGACUCAAACUUUCCUUGGGUCGACCCUCUCAGAAACACAGAAACUUGCAAUUCAGCCUUCCUUCACUUGGGUCGACCCAACCUUUCUUUGGGUCGACUCAAGGUUCAGUUGGGUCGACUCAACUUCUUCUUGGGUCGACCCUCUCAGAGUUUCCAGAGAUCCUUUUCUGUCAUCUGUUCUGUCUUGCCUUUGGGUCGACCCACUCAGGGUUUGGGUCGACUCAAGCUUGGGUCGACUCAACUUCAUCUUGGGUCGAC
rnacentral:lncRNA from 1 species